rnacentral:tRNA from 1 species
CGGGAUGUGGCUCAGCCUGGUAGAGCACACGGUUCGGGACCGUGGGGUCGCUGGUUCAAAUCCAGUCAUCCCGACCA